rnacentral:lncRNA from 1 species
AAUAACAAAAUAAUUAUUUUUAAUAAUACAAUAAUUAAAUUAUUCCAUUUAAUAAUAUAAGGAUUAAUUUUAUCAAAAUCCUAUAAUAGAAGGAUGCAUUCACCUAUAAUUACACUACUAUUAUAAUUAAAUAUAAUACUGCUCUUGGAGAAGCAGCAGCAGAAGAGGGAGAGCGCGCAUGGAAUCUUUAGGAAGGCUGUGAACAGUACACCAAAACCUGACCACCGUCUGAUUUUCAAGAUAAAAAAGUAGAUGAUGAUUGAUGAAAGCUUAAUAUUGUUGUCUA